GGCGCAUUCCGCAGCGGGCUCCUGGGCGUGCUGCGGUCUGCGUGCCGCUCCUUCCGACCCCUACCCUCCCCCAUCCACCCUGCCUACCCUACCCCGCGGGUCCCGCAUCCCCCCACACCCGGGCGGCGGUUGGGCACCCCCACCCUGCACCCCCCAUCCGGGUUUUGCUCUCCCAUCCCCCCUCCAGGGCGGCGGACCAGGACGGCGGCGGCGGUGCGACCACGGACGGACGGACCCCCGGAUCCAGGACGGCGGCGGCGAUGCGGUGGACCCGGCGGCGGACCCCGUGGCGGCGAGGGCGGAACCCGGCGGCCGAUCCGGCGCGAACGGAGCGGGAGCGGCGAGGCGCGGCGGCGGCGGCGGUGGGUCCGGGGGUCCCCGGGGUGCCUCCCGUAGCGAUGGCGGACCGGGGGUCGGGGGGUGCGCAGGGCGGUGCCCCGGGUCGGAACCCCCGGGUGCGGUUCGGGCGGCGGGGCUUCCCGGCUCCUUCCACCGGCUCGCCCGGGGGUCGGGGCGAUGCCCUGGCCUCCCCUCCCCCGCCCCUGCUCGGGUCCCGGGGUCCCUCUACCCCCAUCCCGUCGACCCUCCCUGGGUGCCGCUGCCGCUACCGGCCGGAGCCGGUCGUCAGGUAAAACCCUCCCCCACCCCCGUCCCGGAUCCCAUCCGCCCGCCUCGCUCCCGGAACCCUCCGUCCUGCCCGUCCGCUCGCCCGCUGCCGUCGCUCCGCCGGCUCCUCCGGGUCUGGUAAACCCGGGUGGAGCCCUCACCCCCCAGCCUCCCCGCACCCCGCUCGGCUUGCCCGCUCGGGGGUCUCCCAGCCUCUCCGGGCGUGGUCCGCCACCUCACCCCCGCUUGCUAGUCCCGAGCCUCAGCCAGCGUUCCCCUCCCCCAACCCGGAAUCGCCCACCCUCGGUUGGCGGCUCCGGGUUGGGUGUGGCAUCCGGUCCUCGCCGGAUCGCUGACGUCAUGACACGGAACCGAGGGUCCCAUCCCCCCGGUCGAGCAGCCUCGGCGAGGUGCCGGGUCCCUGGGACACGAUGAGGUCCCAGGAUCCACCCGCGACCUCCGGACCGUCUGCCUGCCCGUAUACGCACAUCCCGGGCACCCCAGAUAAAAUCCGAAAAUGGGGGGUUUCGUUCCCCGGUCGCGUCCACGUUCGGUCUAAAGACGCCAUUCCAAUAUGGCGCUUGUCUCGUAACCGCACCCCGGAAAUUUCCGGGGUCAUCUCCAACCCCGUGCGCUCGAUACGGCAGCGACGGCGCCAUUUUUCCGAUCGAACACCAAAAUCCCAGCACCAUCGGGCCCCCCAGCAACCCCGAUCGUACCAUCCGGAAAAAAGGCAGGCAUGGCGUCUAGCCGCCGUAGCCGCACCCUCAAAAAAGAACCCCGCUCCCGUCCCUGGCCGUUUUCCACCUAUUCCGGGAGCGGCAUGGGUUGGAGCUGGGGUUGGCGGUUUGGGAUUCGGUUUCUGGGGAGACCACCUCCGGCCGUCGCUCGACGUCCCUCUACCGGGGCUCGACGGUCGGAGGUGCCAGAUCCGAUCCCUCGCCGAUCAAUCCCUCAGAAAAGGUGGACCGGAUCAAAAAAUCACGACGCGACCGGGAACCGAAAGAGACGAGAGGCUCGUUAAAAGCUUUCACUCCCAUUCGCCAAAUUUGUCUUCCUGAUCCUCUCCCCGUAACGUGUCGAGCUCCGUGGCACGGAAAGGUCGAAUCGACACCCCUAGCGAGAUUACCGGAACGUGGUCGUCCUCACCGCCACGCGAUCCGCCAUCUCGCACCCCCGUGACGUGCGAUCCAAAACGCCCCGUCCUGAGCUCCGGGGUCGGGCGCGAGAUGGCGGACGGGUCUCGAAUCGACCUUGUCCGAAAAGCGAGCUAUCUCCUCGAGGAGGGUUAGGCGAGAUUUUUGAAAAAGUGGCCUAGAGAGAACGCUGAGGACCCGGCUGGGGCGAAAGGUCUAAAACGCCGCCGCUAGUGGGGGGUCCGGGUUGCCAAAAUUCCCCUGUCCCGGACCCCGGUCGGCCUUUUGGCUUUUCCUUCCCCUGACCGGCGUCGGAGAAAAGUCGCGUGAGCCGUCGGCCGAUACGAAGCCCGGCUCUCCCACCACGUCGAUUUUUUCGAGACUAAAAAGAUGGCGGACUAAAAAACCACCGUGGUCCGGGCACGGCACUAGGUGACGAAUCUCGUUCCUCCCGCCCUCUGACGCGGAUGGCUUCGUACUUGGCACUUUGCCAAGGGAGUGGCUCGCGUGAUGUGACGUCCGCAUCCGGGAUGCAGACGGACGUGGCUCUCACAUCCGCGAGUAACGACGUGUUUACGAGCUAAGUCGGGAACCUCGCCCUUCCGGAGUGACGCACAUAGCUCGCCGGGGCCCGCCUUCUGUCCAGGCCGGUUCCAAAGCGGCGUGUCUGAGUCACCCGGAGGCGACGCGCAACAACCCCUCCCCCCUCCUCAUCCUAGUGUUAAUUUUCCCAGCACGAAACGAUGCACCUUUUUGAACUGCUUUAUUAGAUGCUAUAACAAACUCCUUUGGAGAUACAAGUCAAAUCACUCAACGCCAUUAUAUCACAGUGUAUGAAUUAUCUUUUUUACAUGACACAUGCUGCCUAUGAUGAAUAUUUUGUCUGUUUACUAUGUUAACGAAAAGACAAGUAGGAUGAAUUGUUAUAUAAUAUACAAAGUUAUACUUACUGAGAACAAAAGAUAUCUCCGCUAAUAGGAAUUUUAGACAAUCUCUCAUAGUGUUAAACGACAAGAAAAGAAAAAGGGAGACGACGCGGAUCCCUGUACCCGGAACCGCCCCGUGUACGGCGCGGUGAUGCCUCCGGAUCGGGGAGAAAAGACACGGGAACGAGGUUGGAGGAGACGGACGUUCCCUUUGCCGUCGUCGCGUUUUAGGGACGGCGGGAAAAGCCGGAGGGAACGGCAGAGAGUCUCCGCCUCGAUUUUUUGGUUUCCCGUGAGACGAUGAUGCCAGCUCGAUCCGGGACCGCCGUAGCGGGGUGUUUUUUAAUUUAUUUUAUAUAUACGCUAUGUAUCUACUGUUUUUCCGGGUCCUGCGCGUCGUUGCUGCAGUUAGCACACAUAAUUACAUAUUUUUGAUAAGAAAGAUACUUUUUUUGGACUAGACUCCUCACAUCUCUAUGUACUUCUUUCGGUUUUCCAUUUGAAUACCGUCUCUUUUUAUAUUUUUUGAACAAAAACAAGAUUGAAGAAAACUCCAUAUGUGUGUAUGUUUUUUUAAUCAUACGAAAUAGAACUCUACACCGAACUGUCGCUCUUUCUUAUUCCCUUAGAUGAAGAAAACUCCGAUUAUUUGCUAUUUUUUUGAGUGUUACUGAAUAAUACAUUGCUACAUACGGAAUAGACAUGUCCCUGUUGUACUACUGUGUGUGUAUUAGUUUAUUUUUGUUUUGUAUACCUAGUUCUAUAGCUUGCUUACGUUUUGGAAAAAGAAUAAGAGGAUAGGGUAAGGCGGCCGCGCCGACGGCAAGGAGUCGGCCGGCCGGGCCCACCAGAUGCUACAAGAUAAAAAUGAGAAUAAUGAUAUUUGAGAAAUAUGUGUAACGAUAUUUCAUCCGCAGAGCCGGGGAGGUCCGGCGAAGAUGAUUUUUUUUUCGGUUUUUCUUUUUAAAAAUAUAUGGCUCUUUUGAUACAUAUCUACAACCACGAACUCCUUUUUUUUAUUCUCUGCAUUUUAGCUACACAAGUAAAAACAAGUUUUUGAUUUUCUUUUUUGUAAUACCUUUACGAUGGUAGACAAGAAAAAGACUCGUCUUCCCUGUUGUGAUACAUUCUCUUUAAUAAUGAUAGACAAUGAUGAUCUAGAAUAUAUUCUCCUUUCUUUCCUCUCCCCCGUGAUUUUUUUUUGUUCUAUGAUGUCCUUCUCCUCCUGUGACAGCACAACUCUAUGUACAAAAAUAAGAAUAGCUCUAUAGGAAAUCCAUCAACUACACUAAGAAGAAGCAGCCGGUCACGGCGGGUUCAGGCACGAAUUAGCUACACAACGCUAUGAUAAUAUAUAAAAAAAUCAUUCUUGUUCUAGACUUGAGAUAUUCUCUCCGUGAGAGACAGAUACUGAAACAAGGGACAAUACUGUGUAAGAAAGAAAAAAAAUGCAACCAAGAUAGAUGAUGUAAGAAACAGAAAAAAAGACAUGCAGAUCACAGUCGCUGAUGAUACGUCGUCCGUCCUCUCCUCCUCUGUUCUGGCUGCGUGGAGAGACGGCGGGGAAUGAUCGUCUCCGAUGCGGGUUGUGGUUUCCCGAGCCGGAUCAGAGCCCUCACGGAUGCGGUUCGGGGACCCGCGGGGAGCGAUCUCCGCUGUCGUCUCCCGCGGCGCUCACGAAAAAACUACAAACGGCGACGAUGACGAUAAAAGAAUAGGAUACGAUAUAGCCAGAUAAGGAAAAAAAGUGUUCACGCUGGAAUAAAAAACACAAAAGAGAAAUAGAUGCACGGCCCGCCGUUGCCUCCACGUUACGAUAGAAUCAAUCAUGAUAUCUCUUACUACCUUUAGAACUGUAUCUAGAUAUAACCGAAAAGCAAGAACCAUUACAAAACCAUCAAAUAUCACUUAGCAACAACUCUUUAACCUGUCGUCUCUAAAUCACCAUUCCCUUUUUGUCUCCUUUUCCCCGCUAUUAUUUCUCCAUGUGUAAGAAUCUCUGUAGAAAACCUGAUAUAGAAAAAGGAAAAAGCUAGAAUCGAUGAGAAAUUGAUCGACAGCCAUCUCGUUGAAGAACGACACCACCACGGAAUCCUUUGCACAUUUGCUCGCUAACAUAGGGGGGGUCUCGAAAAGAGAUGCGUAUGUCUCCCUCAUCACACGUAAGGUGUUUCAGAAGAAGACGAAUUUCUUCCGCUGCCUUUUUUUGUGUCCAUCGACUCGUCCGUUGUAUAUGUUCAAUCACUUCGUUAUACUCUUAAGAACACAAAAGACAUGAUCGCACAGUGUAGAAACACGCACCGUGUAUGUCAACCCCAAGCAAAAAGAGAAAAAGUUGUUAGGACCUGGAGAGGUAAACGGGUGACGUUUCCUCUGUCCCACCUUCGAAAGAAGACAAAAGCAACAAUGAUCAAGAAACAUGACAACAGAGAACGGUCGCCGUCGCCGCCGGCAGCAGCGGCGGCGCUACGGGCACGAUCGCGCGUAAAAGUAAAUGAACAUGAAAAUGUAGAGAUAGACGCCGUGACGGCGAAGUUGGGUGUCCCCACCACCACCACGAAAUGGAAAAAAAUAAUUUCCAAGGAUAGAAUAAACGUUCUGUGUGUAUAUAUAUGUGAAAUCUCCUAGGAUAGGUAGGUACUGUAUAAAUGAUCAUUCAGGAUGCUUAAGUUUCUUUUCUAGAUGAUUUUAGAUAGACUUUUGAUAUAAAAAGAACUGGAGACUGUAGCUCUCUCUACCGAACUCAAAAGAAAAAAUACACAAAUGACAUUGAUCCCCCGCAAUAUAAGAAAUGUGCUUUACUGUGAACAAAAAAACAACUGUUAUAUUCUGCGCGCGUACACCGAUAUAGCAGAGAUACGCAUGAGGCUCGCUCAGAAAGUUGUGAUAGCUUGCGCAGCAGGCCAAAGCCAGUGAAAUGUGUUUACUGACACUGUCGCACGCGACAGAUUCUUUGUGUAUAUUUCCUCCCAAAAAAACUCCUCACCAUAGCCACCAUUCACAUCACUAGUCGCGGUCUAAGCGAAAAAGAGACUAGAAAAGCGAACGCAGAAAACACAACAACGGUCGGAGGAUCGUCGCCGUCGGUACCAUCUCCCCUCCGUCUCCUCCGUCGCUUUCGACCGUCGUCGUUGCCGCCGCUUCUCACCCGCGAGCCGCCAUCGGUGGCGGCUGUCUCUACCGCGGGCGACCACGGAGAGAGACGACGGCGCGAGAACGAGAAGCCAGCCCAGAUGAUGGAGGAGGAGUAGUAGGAGAUGGCCGCCGAGAAGACACGGCGACGGCUCCGGCCUGGCCAUGAAUGAAAUGUGCAGAAAACGAUAUAAAUUUUUACCCGUACCUUUGGAUGUAUAUAGAUAGAUCUAGUUUUGUGUAGAACAAUGUGUUUUUAUUAUUUAUUAUACCUCAUAUUAUACGCUAUUUAACCAUAUCGAAGCUAGAAAAUGAUAGAAUGUCUUAGGAAACAAAAAAGUGUACAUAUUUUAGCUCAUCCGCCUUUGGGCCAUCGCUAAGUUUAAAAGUGCUAAGACGUGUUCCUCUUCAUAUGUGAGUGUUCUCGGCCCGAUUCUGAACACAAAAGUAUAAUGUGUAUUUGUUGUUGUGUGUAGAUACUUGACCCGUUCAAUGCCUACCCCACGAUAUCAACAACGACCCGUCCCUAGGGACACAUGGUAAAAAGAGGGAGGUGGUGACGAUGUCGUCGUCACCAUCGCUUACAGACGACUACUACUGUUAUCCCGCCCUGGGAACCAAGAACGCAAUAAAAAAAUCGGCAAGAUCGAUAA
rnacentral:lncRNA from 1 species